rnacentral:rRNA from 1 species
AGAUUGAACGCUGGCGGCAUGCUUUACACAUGCAAGUCGAACGGUAACAGGCCGCAAGGUGCUGACGAGUGGCGAACGGGUGAGUAAUGUAUCGGAACGUGCCCAGUCGUGGGGGAUAACGCAGCGAAUGCUGCGCUAAUACCGCAUACGAUCUAUGGAUGAAAGCGGGGGACCGUAAGGCCUCGCGC